rnacentral:siRNA from 1 species
UCCUCUUUCAUGUGGCCAGGUU